AUACCUCGUUUAGUUUCCGCGCC
rnacentral:siRNA from 1 species